UACGUAGGGUGCAAGCGUUGUCCGGAAUUAUUGGGCGUAAAGAGCUCGUAGGCGGUCUGUCGCUUCGGCUGUGAAAACCCGAGGCUCAACCUCGGGCCUGCAGUCGAUACGGGCAAACUAGAGUACUGCAGGGGAGACUGGAAUUCCUGGUGUAGCGGUGAAAUGCGCAGAUAUCAGGAGGAACACCGGUGGCGAAGGCGGGUCUCUGGGCAGUAACUGACGCUGAGGAGCGAAAGCGUGGGGAGCGAACAGG
rnacentral:rRNA from 1 species